ensembl:lncRNA
UUCCUUUCUCUUGUUUCAGGCAUAUGUAAAUCAGUUUAUGUGACGGCGCAGGAUCAAAACGAGACCAAGCGAUCUAGAAGUGUUACAGUUCAGGCUUGACUGAGGUUUUGUCGGCUUGUUUCAGGCAUAUGCAAACCAGUUCAUGCGGCGCUGCAGGAUCAGAACGAAACCAAACGAUCUAAAGUGGUUUGUUCGGAGUGAUUGACCUGAUUCUAUCGUCGGGUGUUCGAGAUCCUUUCGAGAUCCUCUGCCUUUUUUUGUCAGUAUUUGAUGCGAGGAAACGCCGUUGUCCUACAACUUAUGUUUUCCGUUUGUUUUAUUUAUUCUGAGUAGUAAUUAUGGUUUGUUAUGUGAGUUGAAUGACGGUGCUAUUAAUUUGUUUCAUAUUAAUUAGUUUCCAGUUAAGUGUUUUUUUGGUUUAUUAUUACUAUUGUUUUCUUUGUGUUUAUAUUGACUUGAUCUACUCUUUAUUUCCUCAUCGUGAUUUUUGCUUGUGUGUGCGUGAGUGAUUGCAAACUUCUUUUGCUAGGUGCUGAGGGCUUCAGCCAGGAAUCCUCCCUUGUUUUCUCAGAGUGUUGGUGGUGGUUUGAACACUGGGUGCUGGGUGCAGUGAGACGCACGGAUUUUGUGUGUGAGUGAUAAGAGUUUACUCCAGUGUGUGGUUGUAUUCCUUGUUCUUUAGCCCUCAGCCAAAGCUUUUGAAUGUAGUGUGUUUUUUUGUAUGUUAAUUUUGUAGUGACUGACUGUCGAAAGACCAUAUUUCUUCUGAUAACAUUCUUUUUGUGGCCACAUGGUGUGGCGCAUCUUGCCUGGAAAGCUCAGUUUAUUUAAAUGUGAUUUUAGUAUUAAUAAAAAAAAUUUGUGUAUGAUAUUCAUGUCUCUGUUCCUUACUAGUGCAACCAACUUGCGUGCCUUGAUAUAAAUCAUAUCAAUUAUUCUCUGUGUGGUGUCAGAGUGGCGUAGUCGGUUCUUUUAAAGCUGCAUUUAUUCUGUUCUAAGUAGUGA